UACGAAGGGGGCUAGCGUUGCUCGGAAUCACUGGGCGUAAAGGGUGCGUAGGCGGGUCUUUAAGUCAGGGGUGAAAUCCUGGAGCUCAACUCCAGAACUGCCUUUGAUACUGAAGAUCUUGAGUUCGGGAGAGGUGAGUGGAACUGCGAGUGUAGAGGUGAAAUUCGUAGAUAUUCGCAAGAACACCAGUGGCGAAGGCGGCUAUCUGGACGGUUUCUGACGCUAAGACGCGAAAGCGUGGGGAGCAAACAGG
rnacentral:rRNA from 1 species